GGAUUCUGCGGGCCGAGCCCCGCCUGGGCUGCGCCGCCGCAGGCGGGAGAGGCUGAGGAUUCUUUUGGGAAGCCCCUCCGCCGGCUGUAACCCCAGGGCCGUGCCACCCUCCUGAUCACCGCAAGCAUGGACCCCCCAGCACGCUGCGGGUGGGACAGGCAGGGCCCCUGUGGGGUGGCUUGACUGGCCUGGAGUUGGGGACGAAGUCCCCGGGCUUGGUCCCCCGAGGGCUUGGUUGGGCGUCCCGGGGUAGGUGGCUGCCGCGGCGAUGUGGGCGGCUUGCGUGUGGCCGAUCGGGGUCGCUGCUGAGCCCCGGAGAGCGGAGGGUCCAGGCUAGGCUGGGGGAGCGAGAGGCGAGGGCGGAGCCGCGGAGGUGUGGGCGGCUUUCGUGGUCCGAGAGGCCCCAGGUUCCCGGCAGGGCGGGGAAGGCUGGGGCGGGGCCAGAGCCGGAGCCGCGAAGCCGCGAUGGAGAGGGCCUGGAGGGUGCGCCAGGAGCCGGCGUCAGGGCCUGCCUCCAUCUCCUCCAACCCCCACCCCAUUUAUUCCUGUAACAAAUCCCUACCGGGAGCUGGCACAGCAGCUGUGCGCUGGGGACACACGAGAUGCUCACCCUCCCUGCCCUCCAGGAGCUUGGACUCAGCUGAGCUGUUGUCCACACCAAGGGUGGCCUACAGAGGGAAGUGAGGACCUUGGGACUUCCUCCAGGACAGCCCUCGCUGUCCAAAUCUCCACCUGCUGCAGAGCUGCCUCCAGUCAAGCCCUUGUUUCCAGCUUUCUGUGCCCUAAAUAAACUUCUGCUGGGAUUGAGCCAUCAGCAUUCUGUGGUGGGCGUCGCUGCUGCGAGGUUGCCCUCGUGCACACAAGCUCCUCACAGGACUUCCAGGAUGAUAUGGAAGAGUGACUGAGAGCAGCCGCCCGGUGCUUCCCAACCUUAGAGGGAGGUCACGGGCAGUCUCCCUGCGAUGCUGGCCACAGGGUCUCGCUGUGUCGCCCAGGCUGGAGGGCAGUGGUGUGAUCUGGACUCACUGCAGCCUCGACCUGUUGGGCUCAAGUGAUCCUCUCACGUCAGCCUCCAAGUAGCCAAGACCACAGGCAGGCGUCACCAUGCCCAGCCCCCAUGAUGACUUUACUUUUCUUCUUGAACCUGGUGAAUUUCUGUGUUAACAUGUCUGAUUUGAACCCUUCUGAUAUUCCUGAGAUAAACUUUAUGUGACCUUGGUAUUCUGUUGGAUUUUGGUUAGCUGAUACUUCAAGAUUUUUAUAAAACUGGGUUGCAAUUUAUUUGUGUUCCCGUUUCUAGCUGUCUAUGAGCUUCAUCAAAUGGGCAGGACCACUUUCCCUUAACUUCUCCUUUUCUGGAACAACGGACAUAUCCUGUGGAUUAUCUGUUCCCCACAGGUUUGGGAUAUGGGUGCUGUGAAUGCCACUGUGCUGGGGGCUUUGGGAAGUGUGUGUUUGUUUUCGUGCGUGUGCGGUGGGAUACAGGUGUGGUUACUACUUUGAUUUCUUUCUUUCUUUUUUUUUUUUUUUUUUUUGAGAUGGAGUCUCACUCUGUUGCCCAGGCUGAAGUGCAAUGGCGCGAUCAUGACUCACUGCAACCUCCGCCUCCUGGGUUCAAGCGACUCUCCUGCCUCAGCCUCCAGAGUUGCUGGGAUUACAGGCACCCACAACCAUACCCUAAAUUUUGUACUUUUAGUAAAGAUGGGGUUUCACCAUUUGGCCAGGCUUGUCUUGAACUCCCAAUUACCAAUUUCUUAUGUGUCCUUUUGAAGACUUUCUAAGUACGACCAACCUAGUAAAGUGAGUCACCCACCACUGUUUUGUUUGUUUUUGUUUGUUUGUUUGUUUUUUAGAAUGGGGUUUCACCUUGUUGCCCAGGCUAGUCUUGAACUCUUGGGCUCCAGCAAUCUACCCUCCUCAGCUUCCCAAAGUGCUGGGAUUAUAGGCAUGAGCCACCAUGCCUGGCCCCACCACUCAUUCUUAACCUCUUCUUCUUUGCCUUUCUCUGUUGCAGAGUCCUGGAAGUUAAAUGCUCUAUUUCCCAGCCUCCCUUGCAGCUAGGAGCAGUCAUGUGACUCCAUUCUGGCCAACGAGAUACAAGAAACACUUGCUGACAGGUGCAAUCAGAAAGCGUUUGCUUUUCCAGUAACAUGUAGGACCAGUCACCUUUUUGCAUUUCCCCUUUCUUCUUGAUUCGAACAUUGCAUUGCCGUCAUGUUUGGAGAUGAGUCAGCCAUCUUGCAAAUAGGAGGCAGCAAGACUGAGGGAAAUGCCAUCCUGCUUCAGAGGGCAGAAUGGAAAGAGAAGCCUAAGAUGGCAAUGGUACGGUUGGGCAGCUGAGUCAGGACUGGGGCCACUGCCUCUCGGUUUCAAGGGAGAAAAAUAAACCCCUGUUUGUUGGCCUCAUGCUAGGUUGGAUUUUCUUUUACUUAAAGCCAAGACAUUUCUAACAUACAAAACCAGACACAUGUGCAUGCCACACGUACAUCACAAGUGAUCACAUGCUGUCCGACUAGCACCUCGAUUUUUCCACUGAACCAUCAGUCUUGCAGAUCAUCCUUUAUCAGUGCCUGGCAACUUGUCUUGCCCUUGUUUUCUUGGGUUUUUGUUUUUGUUUUUGUUUAAGACAAGGUCUCAUCUGUUGCCCAGGCUGGAGUGCAUUGGCACAAUCAUAGCUCACUACAGCCUGGACCUUCUGGGCUCAGCAGUCCUCCGUCCUCAGCCUCCCGAGUAGCUGGUACUAAAGGCAUGUGCCACCAUGCCCGG
rnacentral:lncRNA from 10 species